CAGAGGUCUCAAGCGUUGUUCGGAUUCAUUGGGCGUAAAGGGUGCGUAGGUGGAUUGGUAAGUCAGUGGUGAAAUCUCCGGGCUUAACUCGGAAACUGCCAUUGAUACUAUCAGUCUUGAAUACCGUGGAGGCCAGUAGAAUAUGUCAUGUAGCGGUGAAAUGCUUAGAUAUGACAUAGAAUACCAAUUGCGAAGGCAGCUGGCUACGCGAAUAUUGACACUCAGGCACGAAAGCGUGGGGAUCAAACAGG
rnacentral:rRNA from 1 species